rnacentral:rRNA from 1 species
AGAACGAACGCUGGCGGCAUGCCUAAUACAUGCAAGUCGAACGAGAUCUUCGGGUCUAGUGGCGCACGGGUGCGUAACGCGUGGGAAUCUACCCUUGGGUUCGGAAUAACAGUUGGAAACGACUGCUAAUACCGGAUGAUGACGAAAGUCCAAAGAUUUAUCGCCCAGGGAUGAGCCCGCGUAGGAUUAGCUAGUUGGUGAGGUAAAGGCUCACCAAGGCUACGAUCCUUAGCUGGUCUGAGAGGAUGAUCAGCCACACUGGGACUGAGACACGGCCCAGACUCCUACGGGAGGCAGCAGUAGGGAAUAUUGGACAAUGGGGGCAAACCUGAUCCAGCAAUGCCGCGUGAGUGAUGAAGCUUAGGUGUAAAGCUCUUUACCGAGAUGAUAAUGACAGUAUCGGAGAAUAAGCGUCCGGACUAACUCCGUGCCAGCAGCCGAC